AUCGAUAGGUUCAGACUUUCGGCCAAUCACAUUCGUUCUAGUUAUGCGGUUGUCAUCAUUGUCUAUCAAUGCAUUAUACAUAGCACGAAUUGUGCGAGCGUUUACCCAUCUAUUGUCGAGCAUCCGUCAUUAGAGCGUUGAUCGACAUCGCUCCGUGUUUUACACGGCUUGUCUGUCGAGUGUAAGUCUAAGUGUAUUGUUCGUGGGCUGUUCGCGUUGUUUGCACUUUACACCUAAUGCUCGUUGUACAUUAGACUUCUCUUUAGAAAGAGGAGCUCUUAUUGGAUUUCAUUCAUCGCGUCUGGUGUACAACGGACAUUAGGUGCAAAAGUGUCAAACGUGCAAGCAACGCGAACAAAUCUAGUAUCGGGAGUGCCGAAAUAUAACGAUGUACGUCGUUGGGACAUAUAAGCGCGCAAGUGGCAAAUAAUCUUUCUGUUUCUUUAUAUAGCGGAACGAAAGAGGUGAAAAACGCGGAGAACCAGAGCCACAGUCAGUUCCUGUCGACGUAGCUGCAAGUUCGUCGUUCGCGAUGAAAUGCGGACGAUACAGCGGGACCGAGGACGAAUAAGUGAGAGCGGUGAAGGCGGAAAGGUGAGGGGCAAGGUCCACCGAGAAAUGUUUUUAUUCAGUCCCGAGUCAGCGAGCGAUGCGCAACGGACUACGUGCGUCGUACUACGCUAUCUAUCAUUCCCUUACACAAUCAAAACAUUCGGGAUCUUCAAAACGGUCAAUUUACCUUUAUGCCUCAAGGAGUUUGUCGGGAGUUCUCAGUCAGUUCUGAGCUGAGACGUAUAGAAGUCUACGUGUAUCCGUGCGCGUCAUCUAUCUUUCCUCUCGAGUAAUUAAACUAUUUUGUCGAUAUUUUGAGACACUUAAUUAGUCUGUCGUCGGCGUCGUUAUUUAACACGUGUAUCUUCAAUUGAAUCGAAUCUACGCGAGUGUGAGUGUCAGUGCCACGAUAGAGCAGCCAGGAUACUUCAGGAUAGGCAGAGAAGUCAGAAUAGAGGACAGAGGACGCAGAACGUCGAGAUGCGCAGACAACGACUUACAUCAUAUUUUUAAGAUAAACACACGCCGCGUGAUGUCAAAACAAUGGAGCGAGAAACGUAAACUUAACCGUCCGUCGUCAACCGUUGUACUUCGUCAAUAAUUAAAUGGUAAAAACAAUGAAAACAUCCCGAACCUUCGUGGAGCUCGGACGCAUCCUCGUGCGUCGCGCGUUGUUUUCAUUACGCCUCGAGUCGGCGAGCGGUGCGCGUACACACGGAGCACGUGUGUCGGUUACUCGUCACAGACAUUACCUACGAUUAAUUAAAAUAUUUCGUCUCUUGACUCUUCGACUAUAAUCGGACUCUGGUCAUUAACAUUCUUUGUUCCGAUAGAAUCGUAUCUGCGCGAGUGUCAGUGUCAACGUCAGUGCCAUGAUGGAACAGCCAAGAUGCUGGGUUGGAGAAGCCAAGAUGGAGGACGUUGGUUAGAGAACGCCGUAAAGCGGGCACAUCAGAUUUUAAGAUCAGCUCUUUUAAGAGUUCCAAUUCUCAUCAGCUCUUCUAACACCAAAAAAAGAAAGAAAAAACAUUAGGAAGAGAUAAGAAUAAAAUGUGUUAUUUCUUCUAUAUCCAUUUCCCCACCAAUAUUUAAUCCAAUAUUAACCAAUUACUUGAUAUUUGUACAUCUCACAUCUUCUAUUUGUCGCUAAAUAUAUUAUAAAACAUAAAUAUAUUAUAUAACAUUAUAAAUAAUUCGCGACGAAAUAAUAAGACACUUUCGGCAUGCACUGUUUCCGCGUUACACUUUGCCACCUGCCAAUCGUGAGAAUAUAUAUUUGUCAAUUAAUAUAUUGACGUGAGAU